GAUGAACGCUGGCGGCGUGCCUAAUACAUGCAAGUCGAGCGAACAGACUAGGAGCUUGCUCCUCUGACGUUAGCGGCGGACGGGUUAGUAACACGUGGAUAACCUACCUAUAAGACUGGGAUAACUUCGGGAAACCGGAGCUAAUACCGGAUAAUAUAUUGAACCGCAUGGUUCAAUAGUAAAAGACGGUUUUGCUGUCACUUAUAGAUGGAUCCGCGCCGCAUUAGCUAGUUGGUAAGGUAACGGCUUACCAAGGCAACGAUGCGUAGCCGACCUGAGAGGGUGAUCGGCCACACUGGAACUGAGACACGGUCCAGACUCCUACGGGAGGCAGCAGUAGGGAAUCUUCCGCAAUGGGCGAAAGCCUGACGGAGCAACGCCGCGUGAGUGAUGAAGGUAUUCGGAUCGUAAAACUCUGUUAUUAGGGAAGAACAAAUGUGUAAGUAACUAUGCACGUCUUGACGGUACCUAAUCAGAAAGCCACGGCUAACUACGUG
rnacentral:rRNA from 1 species